rnacentral:snoRNA from 1 species
AUGCCAUGGUGAGGGCACUUCACUAGCAUCCCUUUAAAUCUUUCCCAAGUUUCUUGCAAGGACUCAGUUGGGUGCUGCUUAAACUGCAAUAUUUCAUCAAUCUGUCU